rnacentral:ncRNA from 2 species
UAAUACUAUAAUAUAUUUUCCUAUAUAUACUAGAAAUAUGGUCUGGUGUCUCUACAGUUAACCCUAAAUUAAUUACUAUAGGUCUUAAUUUAUUUUUA